rnacentral:rRNA from 1 species
CCUACGGGAGGCUGCAGUGAGGAAUAUUGGUCAAUGGACGAGAGUCUGAACCAGCCAAGUAGCGUGAAGGAUGACUGCCCUAUGGGUUGUAAACUUCUUUUAUAAAGGAAUAAAACGAGGCACGUGUUCCUUGUUGCUUUUACUUUAGGAAUAAGGAUCGGCGAACUCCGUGCCAGCAGCAGCGGUAAUACAGAGGAUCCGAGCGUUAUCCUGAUUUAUUGGGUUUAAAGGGAGCGUAGAUGGGUGGUUAAGUCAGUUGUGAAAGUUUGCGGCUCAACCGUGAAAGUGCAAGUGAUACUGGCAGUCUUGAGUACAGUUGAGGUAGGCGGAAUUCGUGGUGUAGCGGUGAAAUGCUUAGAUAUCACGAAGAACCCCGAUUGCGAAGGCAGCUUACUAAACUGUGACUGACAUUGAUGCUCGAAAGUGUGGGUAUCAAACAGGAUUAGAUACCCCGGUAGUC